AACUAAUUUUUAACACCUCGUCAUAACAAUCCUACCCCAACCCCUACCUAACCCCACCCCACUCACAUUUUUAUUCUCACGGUAACAAACUAAAAGAGAAUUCACCACAAGAGAAUAUAUAUACACCCACACAUCACAACAACUUGGGGGGGGGGGAGGGGGAGGCAUAAUUUCCAUUUAUAAAGAGGAGAUAUUCACUGGAAUAUAAGGAUAGAGAGAGCAUUACAUACGGGUGGGGAUCACGCUCACAUAAAAGAAAAAAUUUCCAUUUAUAUAUUCCAUUCACACGUAAAUACAGGGGACGAACUGAAAAAAGGAAGCUUCUUCUUCAUUCUUUUCUUCUUGGGCACACAAAAAUGGCGGACCCAUGAUAAUCGGGUUGUUUUCCAUGGAAUAAAGGGGGAAAUUCAUCUUUCUUCUGAGAUACACAGAUAACUUCACUGAAGAAAGGAAAAGGGGACUCCAUUUUUGGGUUUCUUCUUCGCAAUACACAUCACACAAAGAAACACUCAUAUCGUUACACACAGAAUACAUAAAAGGAGCAGGAUUUUCACAGGUGGGUCACGGUUCUGGCAAUGUUCGGCUAGAGAUAAGCUUUUCCCGAUCAGUUCGAGGUUGAAUUCAACUGGAACUGGGAGGUUCGAUGUUCUGAAGUCGGGUCGAGGCAUUCCGGUCAGAGCUCUAAUCAAAAUACUUCAACAGAUUGAAAUAAAAGCUGAGGUCCAAUUCUCUCAUAUCUCUUUUAAUUUCUAUGUGAUUUUGGAUGUAAUUCGAUGUCAUUGUUCUUGUGGUUGAUGAUUUUUUUGAUGUUUGGUGUUGUUUACUUUGAAUAGUCGAUCUCGUUGGUAUAAAUGUGAUAACAAUAUAAGUUUGGAAUUGUAUUAAAAAUAAAAAUUGGGUGGGAAUUUAAACUUUGAUAAAA